rnacentral:misc_RNA from 1 species
UCAGAGAUUUCAGCAGUGAUGGCAGCCUCGAUCCCGGAAGCCCCAAUUCCUCCUCCUGAUGUUGUCGGUAAUGCAUUUGUUCACCAAUACUAUCUCAUCUUGCAUCAAUCGCCCGAGCUUGUUCACCGAUUCUACCAGGAUGAUAGUAAGCUUGGUCGUCCAGAGGAGGGUGGGAUCAUGAGUACCACAACAACAAUGCAUGGCAUAAAUGAGAAGAUACUAUCACUUGGUUAUGGAGAAUUCAGAGCAGAAAUAACCACAGUUGAUUCACAAGAAUCAUAUGACGGAGGAGUCCUUGUCCUUGUGACUGGAUAUUUGACUGGAAAUGAUAAUGUUCGACAGAAAUUUACUCAGAGUUUCUUCUUGGCACCACAAGACAAAGGCUAUUUUGUUUUGAAUGAUGUCUUCCGAUACGUUGAUGAUGCCAAGCUUCAAAAUGGAAAUUUUGAUGUUGUCAAUAGUAUUGAAGG